GUGAGUGUAGUUUAAAAAAAACGCUAGAUUGUGAUUCUAGAGAUAAGGGUUAAAAUCCCCUUACUCACC
rnacentral:tRNA from 1 species